rnacentral:rRNA from 1 species
UACGUAGGGGGCUAGCGUUGUCCGGAAUCAUUGGGCGUAAAGCGCGCGUAGGCGGCCCGGUAAGUCCGCUGUAAAAGUCAAAGGCUCAACCUUUGAAUGUCAGUGGAUACUGCCGGGCUAGAGUCCGGAAGAGGCGAGUGGAACUCCUGGUGUAGCGGUGGAAUGCGCAGAUAUCAGGAAGAACACCGACGGCGAAGGCAGCUCGCUGGGACGGUACUGACGCUGAGACGCGAAAGCGUGGGGAGCGAACAGG